UCCGGUUUAUCACCGGCAGUCUCCCUAGAGUUCCCGCCAUGACGCGCUGGCAACUAAGGAUAAGGGUUGCGCUCGUUACGGGACUUAACCCAACAUCUCACGACACGAGCUGACGACAGCCAUGCAGCACCUGUCUCAGAGUUCCCGAAGGCACUCCACUAUCUCUAACAGAUUCUCUGGAUGUCAAGGGUAGGUAAGGUUCUUCGCGUUGCAUCGAAUUAAACCACAUGCUCCACCGCUUGUGCGGGCCCCCGUCAAUUCAUUUGAGUUUUAACCUUGCGGCCGUACUCCCCAGGCGGUCAACUUAAUGCGUUAGCUGCGCCACUAAUCCUGUAAAUAGGACCAACGGCUAGUUGACAUCGUUUACGGCGUGGACUAC
rnacentral:misc_RNA from 1 species